UUAAGAUACAUCUCAUUACUUGACUGGCAACAUUUUCUUCAGCUAAAUCCAAAAAACAUUGACCAGAAAAGCCUCACUCCUCUAGCAGACUGAAUGCUGCUCCCUUAUUUGCAGGCUUUCACCUGGGGCUCCUGAGGGUGUGAGCGUUGUGCCCGGUUGAGCUAUUAAAUGACCAGCAUUUCCCAAAAGAACGUGAAAGAAACAGAAUGAGAUGACAGAUGCCAUCUAAGUGACAAUGUUGCUCUGCACCAAUUUUUUCACUCACUGGAAUGGAUGAUACUUGAGGAAACCAGCUCACUGAUUACUGGUACAAUUGAGCCAGAUCCUUUACAGACAUAAUUUGCUAUGGUUCUUUUGAUUUCACCAGGAUUGUGCCAUCUGAAGCUGAGAUCCAAGAGAUUUUAUAUCCUCUGAGAACCAUAUAUCCUGGAGAAAACUGAUUUAUGUAGAAAAUGGUUUUCACCUAGCAUAACAUACUGUGAAGGAAAAAUGAGAGACAAUUAAACAAACUGUCUGCCUUCCUAAGUUAGAACUUUCUCCAUUCCAGCUAAGGAGAUUCAUGGUGUUCCCUUGGGUGCUGUCACUGGCCACCAGAGAGAAGAGCUCAGUGCCUGCCCCUGCGCUGGCCCUCACAAGGAACACGUGGACUGCCAUGAAGUCUCCUCCAGGCUGAAAAGUCCAAGUGACCUCAGCUGCUCCUGCUACGGCUUCUCCCCUAGACCUGUGUCUCAGAAUGAGCUUGUUUGCAACAUCUUCCAUGGGCGCAUUUCAAGGGAAGAUCAACUAACUUGGUACCUUAUAUCCACAGGGUUUAAGAAAAAUAAGAUCCUCUACCUAGCCAGAGUAAGAGUAUUUGUAAAUAGAAACAGGGAAUUGUGUUGUACUUUCAUGUCUGCUUAGUAAAUUAUUCUGCAGCUAUCUCUGGGACAUAUUUUAAUUUUAAGGCUGGGGAAUAUGGCGAAUACCAUAAAAAGAAUGCCCUGAACACGGCUCCAACAUAUUAAUGUGUGUUUGAACCUCAGUGGUGUGUGUCUGUUCUUUAUGUUGGAAACCACUAUUCUAAAAGAAAAAAAAAAAAAAAAAGGUAAAUUUUGAAAGAUAAAAAAAAUUCCAUUUUAUCUUACCCAAGAUGUAACAUUUUUUAAUGGCCACGUGGUAGUGAAAAGUAGGGAGAUAAUAUAAGGAUUAUUUAAAGUUAUUGUGUAUCUCCUUGCUUAGAACAUAAGUAAUUACAUUAGCACAGUUGACUACAAAAACAUGAAAUAACUUCACAUUAGUUUGUUGAAUCUGUGUUAGUGGACAUCCUUGGUGUGUAAUUCAGAUUAAUAUUUAUAGCUCUGCAUGAAUUUCUCAUACUUGGCUCUGUAAAUUUAGCUUGGAGGACACCAACAACUGUGCUUAGUUUGUAAUGCAAUGAAAAAGUCUAUGCUGAUUGAAGCCUAAAAUUAAUUCAAAAUAUAAAUGUGUAUUUAUGUUUCUGUCUUUCCAAAGUGGCUGAACUUAAAAAUAAACAUUCCAAGGUUUUUUGUUUUUUUUUCAAAAAAGCCUCUCAGCUUCAAGAUACGACGUUCCUACAUUAUAAUGUGGAAGAUGAACUUCCACAUGUAUGUACGUAAUUUUUUCAAAGCAAAAAAUCCUCUUUGAACUUUCAUCUUAAAACCUAAGUCAUGGUUGAAUCUCUUAGAAAAAUUCCUCAUCUGUUCAUUAGAAUUCUGCCUCUGCAUUCAUAGAUUUCCACAUCUUUUUAAAUGCAGUUCUAAAUAUUUUUCUUUCUUUCAAGAAUAAUAUUUUGAAUUAGCAAGAGAGGUCUACUUUUUCUACUUUUCCCACACUAUUCUGUAUUCAGAAGUUCUAAGGUCCUUCCAAGCAAACCAAAUUGACAGCGUAUUGGGGGCUGCUUGCUGAAGCAAAAGGCAGCAGCACUGGUCACAAAGACUACCACAUUAGUACCUGAAAUACCCAUAGGAAAAUUGCAUCCAAAAAAAAAAAUAAUCUCAUAUGAGGGAAGAUAGGCUAUUGAGGCAACUAGCAAAUUAUCCUAGCAGGUAGCUGGAACUGAUGAAGAAAAACAUGUCCUUUUAAAUAAGAAAUAGCUGUUAGGGUCUAAGGAAACAUAUUAAACUAAUAAAUACUCAGAUUGAUGCAUGAAUUGCAAUGCUCAUGUAUUACCAGAUAUUAACAUGAAAGAUAAGGCCCAGAUUAAGCAAAGGCAGGGUUUGUGCCUAAUUUAAGUAGACCUCCAAAAAUAUUUGAAACAUUAUUCCACUGUCAACAGAUAACACAUUUUAAAUUGUCUGUAUUCCCAUUUGAAUCCAUGGAAAGAUGUUUGUCUGUCCAGGAUAUGACAAUGAAAAAAAUCACAAUACAUCAAAAUUUUACUAAAUUCAUCAGAGAGGUUUUUUGCUGUGCUUUUAUUUUUUGGUGGUUUUUUUUUGUUUUGUUUUUUUUUGGUUUUUUUUUAUUUAUUUUGCUUGCUUUUGUUAGUAGCAAAAUCACAAAAGGCAAAUCAUAGAUUUUAGCAGUGUUUUAACAAUGGUUCCUGUCUUUAUUUUUGUAAACUGAACAUAGAUGGUUUUUGGCUUUACUGCCAUUAAUUUGAGAUGAUGUAGAUAAGACAAGCAACUCCAUUCAUGAAAUCAAAUUCUGCUUGUAAGUAUGCCUUUCAAGCAAAAGGAAGAUCUGUAUUUCUUCUAAGUGUUUGCAGGUCGUGCAUCUGUGUUAACUCAAAUAAUGAAAGCCAGGAUUGAUGAUUGGCUGAUUCAGUAAAGCUCUUGCCAACAAUUUUCAGAGAUUAGGAGGUUGUUGGAAAGAUAUCAAUGAAGGUUUAGGGAUCACUGUCUGAAGUAUUCUAAAUUAACAGCUAAUGGAUGUUUUUAAUAGCUCUUUUAUAGAUGAGUGCAGCUGAAUGAAAACCGACAAGAAAGCUCAGCUUUGCUUGGUAUGAGCUUUAACUUUUUUUCACACAUGAUGACCUGCCUCUGCACUAGCUUUCUCACUUUGUUUCUGCACAGGGUAAAAAUUCAUUUAUUUUAUAGUUAAUAAACAUAUCCACACACACUUUAAUCUUUUUGGGGUUUUUUGCUUCAUUUUUUUGUGUUGUUGUUUUUUUAAGUAGUAGAGAAUGGUUUUUUUCUUAAAAUGCUGCAUAUACCCAGUGCUGAACUACUCUUUUCCAAAGAUUUGUUCAUCCAUCCUGCUACUUCUGGCAAAGUUCUGUUCUUGCAGAAAUGGUGAGCAGACAUGAAAAAAAUGAAUACUCUUUGAUUAUAGCUGGUGUAAUCAAGUUGUCUGACCUUCCUGGUGCACAAAGAGACAUGACUUGGGUAUUCAAUAUUCAAUUUCAGUGGCCCAAAGAGAUGAAUAAAUAUAAGGGAGACAGAGUUCAUAUGAAAGUAUACCACUGGGACAGAAAAUAAAUGUCUUGAGGUUGUUUUUUGCACUGGAGCUCAUGUGAUUCUGAUCAUCUCUGUUGAUGCCAAAGGGCUGUCAAAAGACUAUUUUUGUCAUAGAAGGGGGAGAGAUGUGACAUCAUUGCUUCUGCUUAGUUCACAGGUGCUUAAAAUUAUCUAAAUGUUUUAACUCUCAAAAUUCUGCCAAGAGGGAUUCAGUGACUAUCUCUUUCAAUAAAAAACUAUUUGUGCUUAUACAUGUGCUCUUUUCCCUUCUGCACUCUGAGCAUAUCAGAUGAAUAAAAAAUAUAGUUUAAAAUUUUGCAUUUACCUUGAGGUAGACAAAAUAUUCAGCAAAGAAAUAUCUUUUCUAAAUACUGAGGCUUUUCUGUUAAUAUAGAAACAAUUUUUUAAAAUAUCCAAAUGAAAAACAACACAUAUUCUUGAAAUUGACCUGACAUCAAAGAGAUGCCAGUUAAACAUCAUUUUAGAACUAUUUGUCAAAUCUCUAUUUCUACUCACAGACAGGCUGGGUGAGGAAAACAUGAUGUUACUGGAUGUUUAUGUGUGGAUAGCUAAGUCAAACUAUAUAUUUCCAGUGACUGUAAUUGUAGCUUAGACAUCUAGGACCAAUGUGAAAAAUACAUUUAGAGAAUAUGUUUUGGUGUCUGAAACUGGAGUGAAAACUUGCUAUAAAAAUCUUUAGAUUAUGUAUCAAUAAAAUAACAGUUAUUUCA